ACAAAUCCAUCAUUGUGUCCAUCUCUGCAUGUGUGUCCAGGGGUGCGUGACUGCUUUGCUGUCUACUCACCUCUGCAUCAUGUGCAGGGAUGACAUUUGUCCCAGUGUGCACGUUUGCUCUGCACAUUGAACACAUUUCUUCUACGAAUCGUCUGAUUGUAUUGCCCUUGAAAUUGACAUGAA
rnacentral:misc_RNA from 1 species